ACCAGACUCCCAAUUCGCUGCAGAUUCACGAUCCACAGAAGAAUAAAGAACACAGAGACCCACAGUCCAAGCAGAGCCACAGACACACAGGCGACCAGAAUGUUGAGUUACUGAAAAAAAAGAAGCACUGCAAUGUGUUAGCCACACUACUAUAAGCAGACUCCACUUACAGGCAUGCACACCCACACAUACACCCACAAAUACACAAAGCCACACAGGCAAGCAGACAUCCAACACUUGCAACACUCCAACAGAAACACAGCCCAGCAGCUCCUGAGGCUAAGUGGUUCUUCAGGAAGCCCCACCUGGGAGAGAGCAACCCCGGGGAACACAGGAUCAUGGGACUGUCCUGUGGAUCUCUGAGACAAGACAGGCAAGAU
rnacentral:lncRNA from 10 species